rnacentral:rRNA from 1 species
ACACGUAGUUAAUCUACCCUUAAGUCAGUGAUAUCCUCGGGAAACUGAGAGUAAACAUUGAUAAGAGACAUACCCUGGAAUGAUUUGUCUCUCAAAUUCGAGCUUAAGGAUGAGACUGCGGCGGAUUAGGUUGUUGGCGGGGUAACUGCCCACCAAGCCGAUGAUCCGUAAGGGCUCUUAGCGGAGGGGCCCUGAGAGGGAAUCUGAGACACUAUUCCCAGCCCUACGGGGUGCAGCAGUUAAGAAUAUUCUUCAAUGCGCGUAAGCGUGAAAGAGCAAGCCAGAGUGCUUUUCUAAGAAAAGCUUUUGCCAAAUGUAAAAAUUUUGGCGAAUAAGGACUGGGUAAGACGGGUGCCAGCCGCCGCGGUAAUACCCGCGGUCCAAGUCGCAGCCAUCAUUAUUGGGUCUAAAACAUCCGUAGCUUGCUUAAUAAGUCUCUUGUGAAAUCUGACGUCUCAAAUGUCAGGCGGGCAAGAGGUACUGUUAAGCUAGAGACUGGUAGACGUAAAGAGUAUGUUCAAAGUAACGGUAAAAUGUGUUAAUCUUGGACAGACUAACAACAGCGAAGGCACUUUACGAGAACAGUUCUGACAGUAAGGGAUGAAGGCUAGGGUCGCGAAAGGGAUUAGAUACCCCUGUAGUCCUAGCAGUAAACACUGCUCACUAAACAUUAGUACCUCCUCGAG